UACGUAGGGUGCGAGCGUUAAUCGGAAUUACUGGGCGUAAAGCGUGCGCAGGCGGCGCGUUAAGACAGGUGUGAAAUCCCCGAGCUUAACUUGGGAAUUGCGCUUGUGACUGGCGUGCUGGAGUGUGGCAGAGGGAGGUGGAAUUCCACGUGUAGCAGUGAAAUGCGUAGAGAUGCGGAGGAACACCGAUGGCGAAGGCGGCCCCCUGGGCUAACACUGACGCUCAGGCACGAAAGCGUGGGGAGCAAACGGG
rnacentral:rRNA from 1 species